rnacentral:rRNA from 1 species
GAUGAACGCUGUCUACAGGCUUAACACAUGCCAGUCGAGGGUAAACGACGGGGAAGCUUGCUUCCCCGGGCGUCGACCGGCGCACUGGUGAGUAACGCGUAUCCCACCUUCCUCUGACUGAGGGAUAACCCGUCUAAAGUCGGCCUAAUACCUCAUGGCUUCGUCUUCGGUCUUCCAACGACUAUUAAAGAUUUCAUCGGUCAGUGAUGGGGAUGCGUCUGAUUAGUUUGUUGGCGGGGUAACGGCCCACCAACGCGACGAUCAGUAGGGGUUCUGAGAGGAAGGUCCCCCACAUUGGAACUGAGACACGGUCCAAACAGAUACGGGAGGAAGCAGUGAGGAAUAUUGGUCAAUGGGCGAGAGCAUGAACCAGCAAAGUAGCGUGCAGGAUGACGGCACUAUGGGUGGUAAACAGCAUUUAUGCGGGGAUCAAGGGAGGGCCGUGUCCUUCAUUGCAGGUACCGGAUGAAUAAGGAACGGCUAAUUACGUG